UACGUAGGGGGCGAGCGUUGUCCGAAGUUACUGGGCGUAAAGCGCGUGUAGGCGGGUCUUUUAAGUGAGGGGUGAAAGGUUUGGGCUUAACCCAGACACUGCCUUUCAUACUGGAGACCUUGAGUGCGGGAGAGGCGAGUGGAAUGGUCGGUGUAGCGGUGAAAUGCGUAGAUAUCGAUCGGAACACCCAUGGCGAAGGCAGCUCGCUGGCCUGUAACUGACGCUGAGGCGCGAAAGCGUGGGGAGCAAACAGG
rnacentral:rRNA from 1 species